rnacentral:lncRNA from 1 species
AACAUUGAGGACUUGAACUUUAUGCAAGAAAACCAAUCUUCCUUCUAGUUCUAUCCAAAAUUUCAAGAUAUUGAAUACGAAUCACAUAGUCAAAUGUUGCUCAUUUAGAUCACACUACACAUGAAUUAUUAGCACAUAAAUUGCCCAAUUAGACUGCUUUUUUUAUGGCAGACGGUCAAAUAAGUUUCGUUAAAUUUAAACAUGAACAAAGAAACAGAAAAAUAAGCAUGUGAAAACAAAUUAUGAUGAACACCAAUUAGAUCAUGGAUCGACUGAACUGCCAAAGACGAAUCAUUUUUCUGGGGAGCACCGAAAUAUAUAAUUGUGUAAAUAUUUUUUAAUUAUUCAAAUAAAGAAAAUAUGCAGAUGUAUCCCUCUCACAGAAAUUUGAUCGUUCUGCAUCUAAUCCAACAUAUAGGAAUAUAAAUUCCAAAUCCCAAAUCUUGAAUAUAAAUCCGAUUAGAAAAAAGGAAAUCGGGAAAGGGACGAUACAGUAGAGUUAAAAAAAACCAACUGGAAUUAUUAUCAGUAUAUCAGGAAUUAUAUUGUUAUCAUUUCAUAAUUGUAUAUUCAAAAUUGAUUAUUGAACCAAUAAUUGAUGAAGGGUAUUUGGUAAAUAUAUAUAAGUGUAAAAAUCAAAAAAAAAAUAAAAUAACACCAUUUUGGGUUUGUUAAAAGAAAAAAGAGAAGCAGAAUGUCUGGAAUGCUCUCUUGCUCUCUGUACUCAUAACCAACAUAUAGGAAUGAUGAUGUAGCUGUGAAAUAUAAGCAAUUCUUAUUAGUCUUUUUGCAUUUUGUCAUUGAUAGCGAAUUAUGGAAAAUUAGAAAUAUAUCCAUUCAUAGUGUCUGUAAACCAAAUAUAAGUUAAAAGGUACUAUAAUGAUGAUGAUUGAUGAACUCUAAAAAAGCAUAUUUGGAUGUUGCAAUGUUUAGUUAUUUACCAGCUAUUAAAUUCAAGUUCUUUUAUGUUGGAAAAUUUUCAGGCAGAUGGGGGAAAUUGCAGUAAUUUGUACAAUAGGAUUACUUAUUUUCCUUCUUAAAUGCUGUCAAGAGUGGGAGUACUUAAAUGAACCAAUUAAAUUUGAAAUUAAUGUGCAUAUUAAGAUGUAAGGAAAAUGUAAUAUGCUGUAUAUUUGUUUGAAGGAAUUUAAAUUUCCCUUUUACACGAUUGAAAACAAAAAGGAAAAACAGAUUGCAAUAUGAUAUGCAUUUCUAGGAAUAAUACUGAGCUUUUAUAUACUUGAAUCUCAAGGAUAUACAAUGUAAAAGCAACCAAUGGAACAAAUUGUCCGCAAUAUUUUCCCCUGGUGCAAUCGUUCAUUAUAAUUACAAUUAGAAAAUAUGUUAACUAUCUGGAAUAAUUUAUCCAUGUGCAAUCGUUAAUCAUAAUUACAAUACAAUUGGACAAAAUUAUGCCUGAACGGAUAUUUCACCGAAAUGGAGUUUGCCGAUUGGAGGAAACACACCGGUCAAAUAAAUUUUAACGGGAUAGGAAAAUACAUCAACAGAUUAACGGUAAAGAAUAGGAAAGAACUAAAAUCAAAUUAGGGUUUGUGUAGAAAACAUACCAGUAGGAAGAUGAUGAUGGCAGAUGGAGAUGACGACAGGAGGAUCAAUGUGUCGUUCUUAUUUGAUUCAUAUUACGAAUGUUUGCGGUGAAGAUUAGGGGGAAUUGUGUGUUCGUUGCGUAAUAAUUGCAAUCCGUUUUGUGGAUGAUUUGGUUAGAUUUUGUUGAUGAGGUACCGUUGCGUGUAUUCGAAGAGGCGUAGAAUGAAGGAGUAAUUGAAUUUGGAAAAGGUGUAUGUCUGGGAUUGGGUANNNN